CCCCUCUCAGGAUCAGACCUGGAGAGUUUCCAGUACUCUACCACGCUCUGCUAAGGGAGGGAGAGUCAAGCAGAGGCAUACCCAUUCCAUUCCUAGCUUGGGCAAUGGCUAGCGAGUAGAAGGCAAUCUGCUACAAGU